rfam:Harpegnathos saltator strain R22 G/1 HarSal_1.0_1.contig327, whole genome shotgun sequence.
AAACCGGCCCUUUUCAGGGCCACAAUAAAACCGGCUAUUUUCAG